UGAGGCAGCGUUUGCAAAAGUUACUAUUGGCUCCCAGACGAGUGAGCACGUGUCUGACUUUUGCCACUGAUGACCCAGGCGGGACCCAGCUGUUUUAUGGAAAUCCCCCAAGGAAGAGGUUCACAGCCAAAGCCUUAAAUUUAGCAGACUGUCGGGACGGAGACAACAAGAAAACAACAGCGACGAUUUCUACUAGGCUUUUCUGCCUCUAAAAAGGCUUCCUCUAGAGGCUGCAUUGUUCUGACGUUACCCCCCCCACACACACACAAAUUACAAACAACACACCAACACGGUUACAUCACCCAACACAAGGCUAAAGCAGGUAAAGUCUUACAUGUAAAUAGAAGGACAAGGAAAAGAAACAUGGGUUAUCAGCUACACUGGUUCAAGGCUGCACACUUGCCAAUAUGAAGUAGAGAAGCACAAAAGCUAAAGACCAACAUAAGAAGGGAGAAACAGCGAGUGCAUGUGUAAGCAUGAAACCACAAUGUCUGCAGCCAAGCGUGCUUAAGUGUAAAAACGUGUUCAAAGGUAAUUACCCUGGACAUUUUAAAGAGGUUUGAUGAUGGAAGGAAAGGACCUUGAUUGAUUUGAUUUGGUGAAGAUCUGCCAUGUGGUUCAAGAGCUCAAAAAACACAGAGCUGAGGAGUCUGCUUUGACCCUGAGGGCAAGGUCAACACCCAGGACUGGCUGAACAACAAGACAGAAGGAAGCUGAGGUUCUGGUGACCUUGUACAGCUAAAUCUGUCUUGGACCAUCUGAUUACAUCUGUACUAUUUGAAGAGCAAAAAAUAAACUUUUGCUAAAAGCCACUGUA